rnacentral:rRNA from 1 species
AUUGAACGCUGGCGGCAGGCCUAACACCUGCAAGUCGAACGAGUGGCGCACGGGUGAGUCAUGUCUGUGAAACUGCCUGAUGGAGGGGGAUAACUACUGGAAACGGUAGCUAAUACCGCAUACCAUCAGAUGUUCCCAGAUGGGAUUAGCUUGUUGGUGGGGUAACGGGUCACCAAGGCGACGAUCCCUCGCUGGUCUGAGAGGAUGACCAGCAAGACUGGAACUGAGACACGGUCGAGACUCGUACGGGAGGCAUCGGUGGGGAAGAUUGAACAAAGGGCGCAAGCCUGAUGCAGCCAUGCCGCGGGUAUGAAGAGGGCCUUCGGGUUGUAAAGGACUUUCAGCGGGGAGGCGUUACCCGCAGAAGAAGCACCGGCUAACUCCGUGCCAGCAGCCGCGGUAAUUC